GGCAAUAUGACGUUGAAACACCGGUUCCCGUAUGAUGACCGAAGUUAAGCAACGUCGAGCCUGGUCAGUAUCUAGAUGGGUGACCACUUGGGAAUAGCAGGUGCUGUAAG
rnacentral:rRNA from 1 species